rnacentral:tRNA from 1 species
GCCGGCGUAGCUCAGUGGUAGAGCAGCUGAUUCGUAAUCAGCAGGUCGUAGGUUCAAGUCCUAUCGCCGGCU